UACGGAGGGUGCGAGCGUUGUCCGGAAUCAUUGGGCGUAAAGGGCGCGUAGGUGGCGGGAUAAGCGUGCGGUGAAAGCUCGGGGCUCAACCCCGAGUCUGCCGUGCGAACUAUUUUGCUUGAGCACUGUAGAGGCAGGCGGGAAUUCCGGGUGUAGCGGUGGAAUGCGUAGAGAUCCGGAAGAACACCGGUGGCGAAGGCGGCCUGACUGGGCAGUAGCUGACACUGAGGCGCGACAGCGUGGGGAGCAAACAGG
rnacentral:rRNA from 1 species